UUUGCAUGUAAAACUUUGAUCCCUAUUGUGGCCCCAACCUACUCCCGGGGGCCAUGAUUUUUACAAAAUUUAAUCUGCACUAUGUCAUGAAGCUUUCAUGAAAAUGUAAACUUCCUUGGCCAGUGAUUUUUAAUGAUUUUCCCUGUAUAUUUGUAUGUAAAAUUUUGAUCCCCAACUGUGGUCCCAUCUUACCCCCGAGGACCAUGAUUUUUACAAACUUCAAUCUGCACUAUGUCAGGAAGGUUUUGUGCAAAUGUAAACUUCUUUAGCCUAAUGGUUCUUAAGGUAAGGCCAUCAUUAAAAAAUUUUUUGUUUGAUGUACUCCGAACCACAUUUUUCAAGUCGGGUAGGUAGGUCGGUAUUAUUUUUUUUUUUUUUGAAAAUCAAAGUUACAAAUUUUCUUAUGUUUUCAUUUAAAACACAUAACGCUGCCAGACUGAAUAGAGUUUAGAACAUUCAUUUUGUACACAUUGUAUAUAAUACACGUAAAUCUUCCAGUGUCUCCUGAAAUUUACUCAGGACGUUUUGCAUUCGUCACGGAUGAGGACCUCUACAGUUGUUAAUAAAUAAAUUAACACCCCUUUUUGUUACCACCGGUCGAUUCCGACAUUUAUAAUAGCAAUCACUUAAACACUUUAAUGUGAUCCAUGAAUAUCCAAGUGAAUUGCAUGAUGACAGCAAUUUACAAUAAGUUUUAAUAUUACCCAAUAUAAUUUUAAUGCAUGUCUGACUUUCCAGACUUUCCAACAUCAUUCAAAUUGUUGUGACGAUCGUGUUCCAUUCGUGUGUCUCAGUUUAAGAGCAAAGUAAAAGUGCCGUUCACCUAUUAAAUGAGGAACCGGAGUCGGUUAUCUUAUCUUGUAUUGAUAGAGAGCGCCACAGGCAAAUCUGGCCCUGAACAAAAAAAAAAGAUAAAUGUUGAAAAGAUGGGUUAUCAGCAACCAUUCUCGAAUGCGAUUUCAGAAAACACAAACACUACCUUUUACUUACGAUGGCAUCCAGUUGUGGUCAUAUGACAAUACCUGAACUUAGGAAAGAGUUAGAAAAGUUUGGAGCAAAGAAAUUGGGAAGAAAGUGGUAACUUGUAAGAAGACUUAAUUGAAGCAUAUAGAAGAAAUGAACAUCUUGCAAGGACCGAUAUUUCUGGACCUGAAUUUAUUAUGUCACCCGAUCCACAACUCUACAGGGACCUUCAUUGUGAUAAGAGCUUUUCAAAUUAAAAGGAAUGCCAAAUUCAUUGACGAGAUGAAGAGAAAUUUUAAUGAAUUUUAUGAAAGAUAUUUUAAGUCUGCUCUGUUAGAGAAAACGUUUUUCAAGACAUACGAUGGUAAAUGUACAUGGAAUAAAUGUUUAAAAAAUUAAAUAAA